rnacentral:rRNA from 1 species
GAUGAACGCUGGCGGCGUGCCUAAUACAUGCAAGUCGAGCGAAUGGAUUAAGAGCUUGCUCUUAUGAAGUUAGCGGCGGACGGGUGAGUAACACGUGGGUAACCUGCCCAUAAGACUGGGAUAACUCCGGGAAACCGGGGCUAAUACCGGAUAACAUUUUGAACCGCAUGGUUCGAAAUUGAAAGGCGGCUUCGGCUGUCACUUAUGGAUGGACCCGCGUCGCAUUAGCUAGUUGGUGAGGUAACGGCUCACCAAGGCAACGAUGCGUAGCCGACCUGGGAGGGUGAUCGGCCACACUGGGACUGAGACACGGCCCAGACUCCUACGGGAGGGAGCAGUAGGGAAUCUUCCGCAAGGGACGAAAGUCUGACGGAGCAACGCCGCGUGAGUGAUGAAGGCUUUCGGGUCGUAAAACUCUGUUGUUAGGGAAGAACAAGUGCUAGUUGAAUAAGCUGGCACCUUGACGGUACCUAACCAGAAAGCCACGGCUAACUACGUGCCAGCAGCCGCCGUAA